GACAGAGGGGGCAAGCGUUGCUCGGAAUUACUGGGCGUAAAGGGCGCGUAGGCGGCCGCCUAAGUCAGACGUGAAAUCCCUCGGCUCAACCGGGGAACUGCGUCUGAUACUGGGUGGCUUGAAUUCGGGAGAGGGAUGCGGAAUUCCAGGUGUAGCGGUGAAAUGCGUAGAUAUCUGGAGGAAUACCGGUGGCGAAGGCGGCAUCCUGGACCGACAUUGACGCUGAAAGCCGAAAGCUAGGGGAGCAAACGGG
rnacentral:rRNA from 1 species